rnacentral:lncRNA from 7 species
GGUUUCACUCACCGUCCUGGUGCCCUAUCAGUAAUUACUUCUUCCCUGUGGGGCUGUUCAGCAGUGACCAUAUCAGUGUGUUGACAUGGUGUUUCUCCCCAUUUUUCCAAGGAAUGAUGAUAUCAUUCAAUUAUUUAUCACACCAGCUGCACUAUAACUGUGUAGACGUGUAUUUCUUGCAGUUCUCCUGUGAUCUAAUUUGGACUUAGAGGUUUUCAGAUAGGGCAGCUGCACUUUAUCAAGAAAGUGUGAGUCUGGGGUUCAUGAAAAUAUGCAGUUCAUUUAUGUAUGUAUGUGUACAAAGACAAAUCCUUUGAUAUUGAUUGAGUUUAUGAAAUAGCUACAAACAUCUGGAGUCAAGACUUUUGCUGAAGAUGCAACUCAUUCCUAAUGAACCUGCCUCUAGAAAAUUAGUACAUCUGAAGUAAUUUUCUUGAAAUUGUUAUAGAUUUCUAGGCCUACUGUUCAAUCUUGAUGGUAAUUGAACAGUAUUUUACAGCGAAGUCUGAUCUGAUCUUUGUGCAGAGGAUGUUUUAAUAUCUUUGCUGUGCAAUGUGAACUCAGCUACAAUUUAUAUUCUAGAGUUUGUUUUACUUACAUAGAAGGAUAAUGACCAAGUCAAAUUCUGUAAAUAAAAUACUCCAGC